rnacentral:rRNA from 1 species
UAAUUAGAGGGAACACCCUUCCGCUGGAAUGCCUUUGACGGACCUUGGGAUAGGGCUUUCUGUGUAAAAACGGGCAGAGACCAAGGGGGCCCAUGGCUUUUUUCCCCUUGUGUUGGGAGAUUUUGGGUUAAGUCCCCCAAAGGGCGCAACCCUUUUCAAUUGUUCCCAGCGGUUAGGCCGGGCACUCUAUUGAGACUGCCGUUGACAAACCGGAGGAAGGUGGGGAUGACGUCAAGUCUUCAUGGCCUUUAUGUCCAGGGCUACCCACGUGUUCCAAUGGCGGGUACAAAGGGCUGCAAACCCGCAAGGGGGAGCCAAUCCCAAAAAGCCGGUCUCAGUUCGGAUUGGAGUCUGCAACUGGCCUCCAUGAAGCGGGAAUCGCUAGUAAUCGCAGUCACU